AAACUUCUGGGCUCAAGUGAUCCUCUUGCCUUGGUCUCCCAAAGUGCUGGGAUUACAGAUAUGAAGCCACUGGGCCGGGCUGAGAGGUAUGGAUUUUAAGCAGGAGAGUUGAGCAGAUUUAGGGUUUUAGGAGAAUCUCUACACAAAAGGCUUCUAGAGUGGGGAAUGCUUGGGAGAGAAGAAAAACUAGAGACACAGAAAUCAACUGGAAGCCACUGGGGUGGUCCAGGAGAGGCUUGUGGGGGCUGGGCCUGAGGUUGUGCUGAGGGUGAUGAAGAGAGGUGGACCUGCUAAAGGUCACAGUGCUGGUUAGAGACGGACCAGGGGCGGGAGCUGCUGACUAAUUAUGUAAAACUUUCCUGCCAGGAAAUUAGCCUUUUUUUCUUGUUUAUUUAGGCAUGAAUUUAAUAUAUGUGCUACUUGAUAGAGACAGAUAAGUAACUACCAGUAACUGGGCAGAGAUGGUUAGCUGGGAGGUAUGGAUUUCAUUUCCAUUACUAAUGCCUGCAACUGCUGAUAAUAGAUGUGCCCCAGGAAUCGCUGCAAGGGAAAUGGAGCAAGACCCUGCACUUGAUGGAUCAGCUGGUCCCACCCAGAUCAAUAAACCGGCUCAUCUGAUCUUGCGGUCCCCACCCAGAACUGACUCUGCAAGAAGACAGCUCUGACUCCCUAUGAUUUCAUCUCUGACCAAUCAGCACUCUGGCUCGCCCGCUUCCCCUCAUCUGCCAAAUUAUCCUUAAGAAUUCUGCUCCCCAAAUGCUCAGGGAGGCUGAUUUAAGAAUAAAACUCCAGUCUCCUUCA